GCAAGCUUAAGGGGUUGACACCCGGAGGCGAAGCGAAAGCGAGUCUGAAGAGGGCGCCGAGUGGCAUCGAUUAGACACGAAACCAGGUGAGCUAACCAUGGCCAGGGUGAAAAUGUCGUAACAGACAUGGGAGGCCCGAACGCACAAAUAUUGCAAAAUUUGGCGAUGAGCUGUGGUUAGGGGUGAUAUGCCAAACGAACU
rnacentral:rRNA from 1 species